rnacentral:lncRNA from 1 species
CGGACAACAGAAAGGCAGCUCUAUCUGAAGGUGAAACUGCUCUAACAGGGAAAGCUCUUUAAAAGACCAUCAAAGAGACACCCUGCAAAAUGCCUGCUUUCCGGAGGAGCCUCGCGCCCACAAGGCCAUCCCCCAUAUCCAAAAUAUGCUGGCAUGCUAACCGCGUGAGACAGACAACUUGGCCCACGGACAGCCACAAAGCACAAAAACAAAACACAACACAAACUCAGAGAAGAAACAAGAAUCGUGUUUUCCUGGGGUCUACGAGAAGCGCUUUAUUUAUUUUUCCUCUAGAUUUCUUUUCUAAAAAAAAAAAAAACAAAAA